AGAGAGAUGGCUUAGAGGUUAAGAGCACUGGCUUCUAUUUCAGAGGAUGUGGGUUCAAAUCCCAGCAUCUCCA
rnacentral:tRNA from 1 species